CACACUUCCUCCAGCUGUGAGAACCUAGCAGAGAAAAGACUAGGAAACUGGCCCAGCUGUCUGCCCCGGGUUUUCACCAUGCACUUACAGGUCUGAAUACUCGGAGUGCUCUCCCCUCCCCCUCCCCGUGACGGAGUGAGACCUGGCGCUGCUGAGUCACGUUGUUUCGCUUCUGCUGCCCACCACCAGAGCAGCUGGGAUGUGGAGUGCACUCUUCCCCUUUCCAGGGUUUCUGGCAGAAGUGGAACAGGACUUUUCCAGAGGACGGGAUCACUCCGAGACUCAACUCUUCAGGUCGGGGCAAAGUCUAAAAUUCCAGAGACCCUGGAUUUAGAGGACAACGCUCUCCAUGUUUGCUGUGAUCCAUCAAAAGUGGGUGUGGGCUGCAUACCUAUCAGAAGAGCUCAAAAACAAGGAAACAAAGCCAAGACAGCAUGGCGACAAGGGCUGGGGCAAACUCUCAGAGACUGUUGAGCCUCUUUGCAAAACAAGCUGAAAGCUACUUACAGAAGAGGAUGGAAGAUACAUGAAAACAAGACCGAACUUCAAAGGCAUGAUGCUAGGCGAAAGAAGUCAGAUUCGGAAAGCUACAGACUGAAUGCUUUGGCUCAGAUGAUAUUCUGAGAACAGAAGAACCUAUAGAGAACAAGCCAAAGAUUGCCAGAGACUCUGAGACGCCAGGCUACGCAUCUGAAAGUCCGUCUCCAUCAUCCACGACUCCCUCAUGGUUCAGAAUACUUCGAGGAACAUCAGAGCUCCCCGCGGAAGAAGAUAAAUUAUGCUUCUUUUGUACAGUUCUCGGAAUUUCUCAGGCAGAUACCGCUUCUGGUUUUAGUAUGGUAGUUUCCUCACUUCAGGAAGAAAAACUUUUUUCUUUUAAUUGUCCUUUUUGGAUACAGACUGCUGCAAUGUCUGUUUAAAACUUCGUUGGUGCUGGUUGGAAAGGAAUAUACUUUUUCUAAAUCAGCAUUCUUAUGGCUCUGUCCAAUAGGAAUAUAGUAUGUCCGGAUACACAAUUAAAAGUAUUUAUUUUUUUUUAUUUGUGUGUAUGUUUGUGUGUACGUGCACACGUGUGUGGGUUCCUGCGAAGCCAGAAGAGGCUAUCAGAUCCAUUGAAACUGGAGCCAAAGGUGUCGUGAACCACCACGCGGGUGCUUCGAAUUGAACCUUGACUGCAGAGCCGUCUCUUCAGCUCAGCUCUUCAAGUUAUAUAGUGGCACUAGUUUUAAAAAGUUAAAUUAAUUUCACCCAGCACUGGAGAGAUGGCUCAACAGUUAAGUGCAUUGGUUGCUGUUCCAGAGGACCUGGGCUCAAUUCCUAGCUCUCACAUAGUAGGUCACAGCCGUCCAUAGCUCUCGUUUCAGGGCAUUUGAGGGCCUCCUUGAUCUCAAUGGGCACUGCAUGCAUGUGUUGCAUAUACAUAUAUGCAGGCAACACACCUGUAGAUGGGAAAUAAAAAUAAAAUGAAAAAAAUCGUUUCAAUAAUGUAUUUUAUUUAACCUAGA